CAUGAGCCCAAAGUUUCUUCUCCCACACGAGUCCCUAUCCCGUCCUUACAGGCGGUGAUCGAAAGCUUGUUUUUUGAAGGUUGGCUCUGUAGUCGUUCGUCCACCCAUUUGGCAAAGGCGUUCAUCCAUGGAGGCUCCGGCAGCUAUUCACCCUCACCUUCGUAAACACAGUGUUUAGGGAAACCUAAGAUUUACGUGUUAGAGAAACGAAAGAGGGAAGAGGAGAGUUUACCCCUGCAACGCCCCAACCCACCGAUCUUGCCUGAGAACGAUCAAGCAUCAGAGUUCUUUCUGCGCUGACAGGUUUGUGAUCUCAGAAUACAAACAGGAGCUUUUGCUGGUGAGGUUUGAACAGGGAUUUACAGUAGUCGGCGAGGAUUUUCUGCAACAAGUUUGAGUAAAUCUUCGAAAACCACAUCCCGUGUGGAGCAUCUUCGUUGGGCAUUACAAUAGAGUUUUUGGAAAAUUGGAGAAAUGAAGGAGGGAAGAGGAGAUUUUGCCACUGCAACGUCCCAACCCACCGAUCUUGCCGGAGAACGGUCAAGCAUCGGACUUGUUUUUGCUGCG